UGGGGAAUUUUGGACAAUGGACGAAAGCCUGAUCCAGCCAUUCCGCGUGCAGGAUGAAGGCCCUCGGGUUGUAAACUGCUUUUGUACGGAACGAAACGGCGAGCUCUAAUACAGUUUGCUAAUGACGGUACCGUAAGAAUAAGCACCGGCUAACUACGUGCCAGCAGCCGCGGUAAUACGUAGGGUGCAAGCGUAAAUCGGGAUUACUGGGCGUAAAGCGUGCGCAGGCGGUCAUAUAAGACAGAUGUGAAAUCCCCUGGCUCAACCUGGGAACUGCAUUUGUGACUGUAUGGCUAGAGUACGGCAGAGGGGGAUGGAAUUCCGCGUGUAGCAGUGAAAUGCGUAGAUAUGCGGAGGAACACCGAUGGCGAAGGCAAUCCCCUGGGCCUGUACUGACGCUCAUGCACGAAAGCGUGGGGAGCAAACA
rnacentral:rRNA from 1 species